rnacentral:tRNA from 1 species
GCCACCAUGGUGAAAUUGGUAGACACACUACUCUUAGAAAGAAGUGCAAGAGAAUCUUGGUUCAAAUCCUAGUGGUGACA